GCCUGUAUAGCAUAGUUGGUAAUGCGUCAGUCUAAUAAGCUGAAAAUCGCAGGUUCGAGCCCUGCUAUAGGCA